AAUAAAGUGGCUGAGUAUAAGCAAAAGAAUGUAAAUCUUUAUAUGGGUAACCCUUUAUCA
rnacentral:tRNA from 1 species